GAUGAACGCUGGCGGCGUGCCUAAUACAUGCAAGUCGAACGAGUUCUCGUUGAUGAUCGGUGCUUGCACCGAGAUCCAACAUGGAACGAGUGGCGGACGGGUGAGUAACACGUGGGUAACCUGCCCUUAAGUGGGGGAUAACAUUUGGAAACAGAUGCUAAUACCGCAUAGAUCCAAGAACCGCAUGGUUCUUGGCUGAAAGAUGGCGUAAGCUAUCGCUUUUGGAUGGACCCGCGGCGUAUUAGCUAGUUGGUGAGGUAAUGGCUCACCAAGGCGAUGAUACGUAGCCGAACUGAGAGGUUGAUCGGCCACAUUGGGACUGAGACACGGCCCAAACUCCUACGGGAGGCAGCAGUAGGGAAUCUUCCACAAUGGACGCAAGUCUGAUGGAGCAACGCCGCGUGAGUGAAGAAGGCUUUCGGGUCGUAAAACUCUGUUGUUGGAGAAGAAUGGUCGGCAGAGUAACUGUUGUCGGCGUGACGGUAUCCAACCAGAAAGCCACGGCUAACUACGUGCCAGCAGCCGCGGUAAUACGUAGGUGGCAAGCGUUAUCCGGAUUUAUUGGGCGUAAAGCGAGCGCAGGCGGUUUUUUAAGUCUGAUGUGAAAGCCCUCGGCUUAACCGAGGAAGCGCAUCGGAAACUGGGAAACUUGAGUGCAGAAAAGGACAGUGGAACUCCAUGUGUAGCGAUGAAAUGCGUAGAUAUAUGGAAGAACACCAGGUGGCGAAGGCGGCUGUCUGGUCUGUAACUGACGCUGAGGCUCGAAAGCAUGGGUAGCGAACAGGAUUAGAUACCCUGGUAGUCCAUGCCGUAAACGAUGAAUGCUAGGUGUUGGAGGGUUUCCGCCCUUCAGUGCCGCAGCUAACGCAUUAAGCAUUCCGCCUGGGGAGUACGACCGCAAGGUUGAAACUCAAAGGAAUUGACGGGGGCCCGCACAAGCGGUGGAGCAUGUGGUUUAAUUCGAAGCAACGCGAAGAACCUUACCAGGUCUUGACAUCUUUUGAUCACCUGAGAGAUCAGGUUUCCCCUUCGGGGGCAAAAUGACAGGUGGUGCAUGGUUGUCGUCAGCUCGUGUCGUGAGAUGUUGGGUUAAGUCCCACAACGAGCGCAACCCUUAAGACUAGUUGCCAGCAUUUAGUUGGGCACUCUAGUAAGACUGCCGGUGACAAACCGGAGGAAGGUGGGGAUGACGUCAAAUCAUCAUGCCCCUUAUGACCUGGGCUACACACGUGCUACAAUGGAUGGUACAACGAGUUGCAAGACCGCGAGGUCAAGCUAAUCUCUUAAAGCCAUUCUCAGUUCGGACUGUAGGCUGCAACUCGCCUACACGAAGUCGGAAUCGCUAGUAAUCGCGGAUCAGCACGCCGCGGUGAAUACGUUCCCGGGCCUUGUACACACCGCCCGUCACACCAUGAGAGUUUGUAACACCCGAAGCCGGUGGCGUAACCCUUUUAGGGAGCGAGCCGUCUAAGGUGGGACAAAUGAUUAGGGUG
rnacentral:rRNA from 1 species